AGCGAACGCUGGCGGCAGGCUUAACACAUGCAAGUCGAGCGGCCGUAGCAAUACGGCAGCGGCAGACGGGAGAGUAACACGUGGGAACGUACCCUUCAGUUCGGAACAACCAAGGGAAACUUUGGCUAAUACCGAAUACGUCCGUAAGGAGAAAGAUUUAUCGCUGAAGGAUCGGCCCGCGUCUGAUUAGCUAGUUGGUGAGGUAACGGCUCACCAAGGCGACGAUCAGUAGCUGGUCUGAGAGGAUGAUCAGCCUCACUGGGACUGAGACACGGCCCAGACUCCUACGGGAGGCAGCAGUGGGGAAUAUUGGACAAUGGGCGCAAGCCUGAUCCAGCCAUGCCGCGUGGAUGAUGAAGGCCCUAGGGUUGUAAAGUCCUUUUAACGGGGAAGAUAAUGACGGUACCCGUAGAAUAAGCCCCGGCUAACUUCGUGCCAGCCGCCGCCGUAAGAC
rnacentral:rRNA from 1 species